rnacentral:lncRNA from 1 species
GGGAUGAGGGGUAGGGGGUAGGGUGGGGGUAAUGAGAGCACACGUGACAACAUCUCUGGUUCGCCGGGUCUGUCUUGUUGGGCUGUAUGUUGGGAUGGGGAAGGAUCUCUCAAGGCAAACAGCACACUGUAUCCGCAUGACCAAGAAGAGGGCCUUCUUUAAGCUGGGAAUAAAAAUAAGAGGGAAAGAACCUUUGGUUACUGAGACUGGUACAACAGUAGUAUAGUGUCCCUGAAGGGAAAGUCUGGAGACAGAUCGAUGUCUUUGAAGGCACACUUUUCAACCUAAAAACCUACUGAGAGUGGAAGACUUUUUUUUUUCGCACCCCAGCGGCUUUUUUGCCUCCCGCUCUAAUCUAAGAGUUAUGCCCACAUUAUGAAUAUUGGUGGAGAGUGAGUCUAACUCAGUUUCAGGAGCCUGGAGAAAAAAGGGUGUAUGCAGCUAAGGCUAACUGUGGAUUUCCCACAGUUUCAUCUGAGUUUCAUCUCAGCAGCCCUGGUGAUAGCACAAUGAACCGCCGGCAAAGCCCAGGUGGUUUGUGAUGUCACCAGAAUGAGGCGAUGUAAUUAUAGCCUAGGGGCCGUUUCCUGUGGUAGGAACCGCUCUGGUCUCUCCAGUCUGAUUACACGCAUUGCAGUGAGUGGGGCAGGUCAUUUCAUAGUAAGGAACGAAGCAAAAGCUCUGGGUCCAGAUCCCCUUGAUUUUUCUAAUAUGGCUCUUAGGAACUUUACAAAUGGCCCACCACCCACGCACUCAGGAUGAGUCCUAGAAUAUACCAGACAUUCCACACAAGCAGCAUCACACUCCCACACCACAGUCUUCAGUCUCUCAGGAUCCAGAAACUGGGACCCUUUCAGACUCCUACAAGAGCUUUCUAAUAAAGUAGUCACCAGCCUACA